rnacentral:rRNA from 1 species
GACGAACGCUGGCGGCGUGCUUAACACAUGCAAGUCGAACGGAAAGGCCCUGCUCUUGUGGGGUGCUCGAGUGGCGAACGGGUGAGUAACACGUGAGUAACCUGCCCUUGACUUUGGGAUAACUUCAGGAAACUGGGUCUAAUACCGGAUAGGAGCUCCUGCUGCAUGGUGGGGGUUGGAAAGUUUCGGCGGUUGGGGAUGGACUCGCGGCUUAUCAGCUUGUUGGUGGGGUAGUGGCUUACCAAGGCUUUGACGGGUAGCCGGCCUGAGAGGGUGACCGGCCACAUUGGGACUGAGAUACGGCACAGACUCCUACGGGAGGCAGCAGUGGGGAAUAUUGCACAAUGGGCGGAAGCCUGAUGCAGCACCGCCGCGUGCGGGAUGACGGCCUUCGGGUUGUAAACCGCUUUCGCCUGUGACGAAGCGUGAGUGACGGUAAUGGGUAAAGAAGCACCGGCUAACUACGUG